UGGGGUCAACUGUUGGAGGUAUGCUCUAGAGGCAAUCAUAGAGAUGAUGAUAUUCCAUUUGUAUCCAUGAUUUAUAUUGUGUUCAUUGAAUAUCCAUUAAAGGCUACUUGAAUUGAUUUGCAAUUAUGUGAAUUGUAUGUGAAACUCUUUACUUGUAUGGUUAUUCUAAAGUUGUCCCUAGUCGGAGUUCAUGUGAGGACACACAUGAAUAUUAGACUAGCACAUGUAUUAGUUGAUGACUAUGUUUCACAAGUCAUGGACAUGGAGAUGUUGAACUAAUAAUGUGGGCACAUGUGGAGACAUGUGCUAGGACUGACCCAACACGAGAAGUAGUUCUCUCUUUACACAACAUAUACGCUUUGUCCUUAGACCUGAGAUUGUCGCAUGUACUCAAGAUGUGGAUUGACUUACUUAGGGCUAUGAAACGUUACGCCGUAAACGGGUAGUUAUAAAGGUAGCUUUCGGGUUUGUCAAGAAGCAUGCUAUGAGACAUGGUCAAUCAAGAUGUGAUUUGCCCCUCUCUGAUUGAGAGUGAUAUCUCUGGGCCCCUCGAGUGAUCGGAUCCAAAAAUGCAUGGCUAUGCUACGUACGGUUAAGAGUUAACCUACAAAGGGAUUCCGAAUCAUAGGAUCGAGAAAGAGCGGUCGGCUUGAAGCUAGACCAAAUAUCGUGAGGCAAAGGGAAUAGCAUGUAUAUAAUGUUGUGAUGGUUCGUCUGAUAUGAUCUUCGUAUGCAUAUAGGAGUUGGCACAUCUUGCUAGAGGCCGCUACCGGCUAUUGGGCCGAGUAGGAGUACUCGGACCAUGUCUAUACGUAUCCGAACCCAUAGGGUCACACACUUAAGGGGCUGGAAGCCCAAUUCGGAUGUGAUCCGAGUUGGAUUAGGUUUAGAAGUACUAAUGGGCCUUGGACCCAGAGGCCCGUUAGGAACCUCUAUAAAUAGAGGGGUGGGGGCGCCCUAGGGUUUACACCUUUUGGCGAAACACAUCUGCUGCGCCUCCCACGCCCUCGCCUGUUGCAACUCACGGAUCUAGCAGUCCGGCUUGCAACGCUUCCUCCCUGCACGUGUGGAUACCUUGGAGGUGUUGCGCCUGCAGCACUUGGACGAGCCGCCGACGAGCCACGACGAGCCGCCGACGAGCCACGACGAGCCGCCGAUGAGCCACGACGAGCUGCGGCACGAGGGCGAUCUUGCUGCACGUGGACGAGCUGCUGAGGAGCUGCUGGACGUCGACAUGAUCGACUACGUACGACUACGCUGAUCGACUUCGCUGCAUCGACGCGAAUCUACAACUUCCGCACCAGUGCGUCGAGUGGUAAUCCCGUGAUCCUUAUACGGCAGUUUUCUUGGUUUACGCGGUAGAAAUUUUUGAUUUGCGCUAGUGUAGCCUACCUCGUAUCCCGACAGUGGUAUCAGAGCCGUAGCUGUUUAGUUUUGGAUUCGGGAUGUGUGCAUAUGGAGAUAUGCGAGUUUUCAGUUUGAUCUAUGUCCUGGUUUCGUGUUCUUGCUGCAAUGGUAGUGUAACGACAUACUCCUACCGGUCGGUUUCCGCCAUCGGAGUUAAGUGAUACACGUAAUUCCAGUUGCAGUGAGCGAAGAUCAAUGUGAUUGGUCGAAUCGAAAUCCAGGUUCAUACGCCAGGCACAUGAGAUGUGCAAUAGUAGAUUGGAUCUACUACCGGGGUCGGAAUUUUGCCGUGUGCAUGUGCUUCGGUAAAUCAGCCGUAACUUUUCGGUACGAUCUCGGAUCGGGGCAAAUUUUAUAUGAAAAUUGAUCUACAGAAAAAGUUACACAUGAAAUUCAACGCUCCGCCGUUUUUGGCGAAAUUAGAUUUCCCAAAUUCGGCUUGGAAGAUGGAGUUUCGGGCUUCCGAAGUUUGGAACGUUAGGACGCUUAACUCAUUUUUGCAGGAUGUAUCUUGUGAUCAGUAUGGCCCCUUUGUGUAUGUGAUGCAUGUGUGUAACUCAUUCGUGACCUGCGUGUCGUGCGUACGGCAACAUGGCUGGAGCCAUAUGUGUUGUCACUUUAAUGUAAUUAAUGGUCUGCGUACCAAUCUGUGAUGAGCCUAGCAACUAUGUAAUCUUCAUUACUAGCUUCUUUACUAGCUAUUAGGCGUAAUAGCAUGUUCUAGUUCUUGGAGGACUCAUCACCAGGAGGAUGGCGCACAUGGAACAUGGAGAUGGAGAUCACCAUGGUGAACAGGUUCUGUGGAGAUGGAGAUCACCAUAAGAAAACGGGCCAUACUGUGUCACAACUGUGUGAAUGCUAUUCUGUUUAUGUUUUACUUUCUGCAUGCUGUGAUGUUAGAAGUAGAACGAUCCCUCACAAAGUUUAAGUUAGUAUGCCCUCCCAACUAAAACUUGCACCGUCUCAUAUCUUGUACAAUUAGUGGUGGGUCUAUGAAAUUAGGGUGCCACUAGUUUUCCUUGACUAGACGGGUUUGUGUCGGACACUUACACGCAUAAGGGUUGGUUUGCUUAACAAGGUUAUCUUAACGGUUAAGGACCUUGGGGCAUAAAGGUUGGGCGCCGAGACAUAGAGAUGUCACCCAACAACAGUAGUCAUAUGUGAUAUGAUUAGCAAGAAGUUGCUUACCGAUCUACCUUGUUUGCUAGCAGUGAUGCUAAAGCUCACUAGUAGACUUGUUAGUUGUGGAUCCUGAAUCACUAAGUAUCAAUAGAGGGAUAUUGAUUUUAGUGGGAGUAGAUUCUGUUAAAAUAGUUUAAUGUGAUUUGCUCUAUCAUGGAUACGUUUGUCUUAGUGUAUUUUGCAUUACUUUUGUUGUAGAUUAAAUGGUACCUAGCAGCACUACACCGUUUGCUUUGCGUUCGGUCCUUGAGAAGGACAAGUUGAAUGGAACAAACUACUCGGAUUGGAUCCGUAACCUGAGAAUUGUUCUCAGGGCUGAGAAAAAGGAAGAUGUUCUAGACAACCCACUACCAGAAGAACCUGCUGAUGAUGCACCUGCUGCUGCUAAGAAUGCUUACAAGAAAGCAUGUGAUGCUAACCUCGAAGUAAGCUGCCUUAUGCUUGCUUGCAUGGAACCCGAGCUGCAGAUGCAGUUCGAAACAAACAUGAGGCGCACGAUAUGAUCGUGGCGCUUAGAGACAUGUUCCAAACACAGGCCAGGACUGAAAGGUUCAAUGUGUCUAAGGCCUUUGUGGAGAGCAAGCUAGCAGAAGGCGCAGCAGUAGGACCACACGUAAUCAAGAUGAUUGGUUACACUCAACGGUUGGAGAAGCUAGGCUUCCCACUAGGCCAAGAGUUGGCCACUGAUUUCAUUCUUUCGUCUCUUCUGCCUAGCUAUGGGAACUUCAUCUCGAACUACCAUAUGCAUGGGACGGAGAAGGGUCUGAAUGAGCUGUGUGGCAUGCUUAAAACAGCAGAGGCUGACAUCAAGAAAAGCGCUAGUAGCAGCCAUGUGAUGGCUAUACAGAACAAGCCUAGCUUUAAGAAGAAGGGCAAUUCUUGGAAGAAGAAGGGCAAGGCUGGAACGUCCAAGCCAAACCCAACGCCCAAGGUUAAAGCUGGACCUGGACCUGCUCCAGACAAAGAGUGCUUUUACUGUCAUGAACUUGGUCACUGGAAGAGAAAUUGCAAGCAGUACCUAGCUUCGUUGAAGAAUGGCGGAAGUAAGAGUACUUCCACCUCAGGUACGCUUGUUAUUAAUGUUAUAGAUAACAUAUUUCUCGCUGAUACAAUUGUUAAUUCUUGGGUAUUUGAUACCGGAUCGGUUGCUCAUAUUUGCAAUUCGAUGCAGGGAAUGAUAAGAAGUAGAAGCGUGGAAAGAGGAGAAGUUGAUUUCCGCGUGGGCAAUAAUGCAAGAGUUGUUGUGUUGACCGUCGGGACGAUGCAACUCCACCUCCCGUCAGGAUUUAUUAUGGAGUUGAAUAAUUGUUAUUUCGUUCCUAGUUUAAGUCGAAACAUUUUGUCUCCUUCAUGCUUGAUGAAGGAUGGUUAUUCAUUUGCGAGUGAAAACAAUGGUUGUGUGAUCUCUAAGAAUGAUAUGUUUAUGGCUUUUGCACCCAUUGUGAAUGGAUUGUUUGUUUUAAAUCUUGAUGGUUCACCUGUCUGUAACGUAAGUGCUAAAAGGCCUCGGCCUAAUGAUUUGAGUCCUACCUACUUGUGGCAUUGUCGUUUGGGUCAUAUAAGUGAAAAACGCAUGAAGAAGCUCCAUUCUGAUGGACUCCUAACUUUGUUUGAUUUUGAAUCAUACGAGACAUGUGAGGCUUGCUUGCUAGGCAAGAUGACCAAGAUGCCUUUCACAGGAUUUCCUGAGAGAGCAGUAGACUUGUUGGAACUCGUACAUAGCGAUGUAUGCGGAUCAAUGAGCACGACGGCUAGAGGAGGAUUCCAAUACUUCAUAACUUUCACUGAUGAUUUUAGUAGAUAUGGCUAUGUCUACUUGAUGAGGCACAAGUCUGAAACCUUUGAAAAGUUCAAGGAAUUUCAGAAUGAAGUUGAAAAUCAGCGUGGCAAGAAGAUUAAGACCUUACGAUCUGAUCGUGGAGGCGAGUAUUUGAGCCACGAGUUUAGCAAUCAUCUAAAGAGUUGCGGAAUUGUUCCACAACUUACGCCGCCUGGAACACCUUAGAGAAACGGUGUAUCCGAGCGACGUAAUUGAACCUUGUUAGACAUGGUUCGAUCAAUGAUGAGCCAGUCGGACCUACCGUUGUCAUUUUGGGGAUACGCUCUAGAAACAUCAGCUUUCACACUUAAUAGGGUACCAUCUAAAUCCGUAGUUAAGACACCAUAUGAGAUGUGAACUGGAAAGGUUCCUAGUUUGUCUUUUCUAAAGAUUUGGGGAUGUGAAGUGUUUGUCAAGCGACUUCAGUCGGACAAGAUCGCACCCAAGUCGGAUAAGUGCAUUUUCGUGAGAUAUCCAAAGGAAACUUUGGGAUAUUAUUUCUACAACCGGUCAGAGGGCAAAGUGUUUGUCGCUCGGAACGGGAUUUUCCUAGAGAAAGAGUUUCUCAAAGGAGAAAAGAGUGGAAAGACAGUGCAUCUUGAAGAAGUUCAAGAUGAGCCGAUUGGGCAAGAAUCAAUGAGUGAUGCUAACGUAGCAGAACAAGUUGAGAUACCCAUGGCAAGAGAAGCACCGCCACAACCACGAAGGUCGGCAAGGCUCCGCGAAAUGUGAGAAAUAUUAUUGUUGGACAAUGAUGAGCCUAUGACAUAUGCAGAAGCAAUGAUGGACCCAGACUCCGAAAAAUGGCAAAGUGCCAUGCAAUCCGAAAUAGAGUCCAUGGGAGACAAUCAAGUUUGGAACUUGGUUGACCCGCCUGAUGGUGUUAAAGCCAUAGAGUGCAAGUGGAUCUAUAAAAAGAAAAAGGACAUGGAUGGAAAUGUUCACAUCUAUAAAGCAUGACUUGUCGCAAAAGGUUUUCGACAAGUUCAAGGAGUUGACUACGACGAGACUUUCUCGCCCGUAUGAUGCUUAAGUCCAUUCGGAUUAUUCUAGCUAUAGCUGCAUAUUUCGAUUAUGAGAUAUGGCAGAUGCAUGUCAAGACAGCUUUCCUGAAUGGAAACCUAGCUGAGGACAUGUAUAUGAUACAGCCUGAGGAUUUUGUCGAUCCGAAAAAUGCUGGAAAGGUAUGCAAGCUUCAAAGAUCCAUUUAUGGAUUGAAGCAAGCAUCUAGGAGUUGGAACAUUCGUUUUGAUGAAGUGGUCAAAGGGUUUGACUUCACCAAGAACGAAGAAGAAUCUUGUGUUUACAAGAAAGUUAGUGGGAGCUCUGUAGUAUUUCUAAUCUUAUAUGUGGAUGACAUAUUGCUGAUUGGAAAUAACAUUCCUAUGCUUGAGUCCGUAAAGACUUCACUGAAAAAUAGUUUUUCGAUGAAGGACUUAGGGGAAGCGGCAUAUAUUCUGGGCAUUAAGAUCUAUAGAGAUAGAUCGAGAAGACUUAUAGGUUUAAGCCAAGAUACUUACAUUGACAAAGUGUUGAAGCGGUUCAGCAUGGAAGAGGCAAAGAAAGUGUUCUUGCCUAUGUCACAUGGCAUACAUCUCAGCAAGACUCAGUGUCCUUCGACUGCUGAUGAGCGGGAUCGUAUGAGUAGAGUGUCAUAUGCCUCGGCUAUUGGAUCUAUCAUGUAUGCAAUGAUAAGUACUCGCCCAGAUGUUUCAUAUGCGCUAAGUAUGACAAGCAGACACCAGUCUGAUCCAGGUGAGAGUCACUGGACAGCGGUGAAAAACAUUUCUUAAGUACUUGAGAAGGACUAAAGAUAUGUUCCUCGUCUAUGGAGGUGAGGAGGAGCUCGUUGUAACAGGUUACACCGAUGCUAGUUUCCAAACCGACAGAGAUAAUUCAAAGUCACAAUCAGGAUUUGUGUUCACGCUAAAUGGUGGUGCUGUUAGUUGGAAGAGUUCCAAGCAACAGACGGUGGCCGAUUCUACGACAGAAGCCGAGUACAUCGCGGCUUCAGAAGCCGCGAAGGAGGGUGUUUGGAUAAGGAAUUUUUCUCAUUGAGCUUGGUGUGUUCCCGAAUGCGUCCAGCCCAUUGAAUCUCUACUGUGAUAACAAUGGGGCAAUUGCGCAAGCAAAGGAGCCAAGGAACCACCAGAAGAACAAACACGUAAUGCGGCGAUUUCAUCUCAUUCGAGACUUCGUUAACCGGGGUGAGAUCAAGAUAUGCAAAAUACACACGGAUCUGAACAUUUCUGAUCCGUUGACAAAACCACUCCCGCAGGCUAAGCAUGAUGCGCAUGUAAGAGCUAUGGGUAUUAGGUACCUUCUAGAUUGACUCUAGUGCAAGUGGGAGACUGUUGGAGGUAUGCCCUAGAGGCAAUCAUAGAGAUGAUGAUAUUCCAUUUGUAUCCAUGAUUUAUAUUGUGUUCAUUGAAUAUCCAUUAAAGGCUACUUGAAUUGAUUUGCAAUUAUGUGAAUUGUAUGUGAAACUCUUUACUUGUAUGGUUAUUCUAAAGUUGUCCCUAGUCGGAGUUCAUGUGAGGACACACAUGAAUAU
rnacentral:lncRNA from 1 species